CACUCUGGUGGCCUAGUGGUCAAAGAGUCCGCCUCGGAUGCUGGUGGUCGCGGGUUCGAAGCCCGGCCGAGUCA